GUGAAUCAUCGAAUCUUUGAACGCACAUUGCGCCCCGCCAGUAUUCUGGCGGGCAUGCCUGUUCGAGCGUCAUUUCAACCCUCAAGCCCCAGCGGCUUGGUGUUGGGGACCGGCGACCUCGCUGAAAGCCCUCCGGGGCCCAGCGUCCGCCGCCCCCGAAAUGAAUUGGCGGCCUCGUCGCGGCCUCCCCUGCGUAGUAGCACAACCUCGCAACGGGAGCGCGACGCGGCCACUGCCGUAAAACGCCCAACUUUUUUAGAGUUGACCUCGGAUCAGGUAGGAAUACCCGCUGAACUUAAGCAUAUCAAUAAGCGGAGG
rnacentral:rRNA from 1 species